rnacentral:rRNA from 3 species
UAAUGAUGGCGGCGCUGUCUCCAGCAGAGACUCAGUGAAAUCGAAAUCGCAGUGAAGAUGCUGUGUACCCGCGGCUAGACGGAAAGACCCCGUGAACCUUUACUACAGCUUUACAUUGAACUUUGACCUUACCUGUGUAGGAUAGGUGGGAGGCUUUGAAGCAGGCACGCCAGUGUCUGUGGAGCCAUCCUUGAAAUACCACCCUGGUAAUGUUGGGGUUCUAACUCAAGCUUAACAGAGCUGAGGACAAUGUAUGGUGGGUAGUUUGACUGGGGCGGUCUCCUCCUAAAGAGUAACGGAGGAGUACGAAGGUGCGCUCAGAACGGUCGGAAAUCGUUCGAAGAGUAUAAAGGCAAAAGCGCGCUUAACUGCGAGACCCACAAGUCGAGCAGAUACGAAAGUAGGUCUUAGUGAUCCGGUGGUUCUGUAUGGAAGGGCCAUCGCUCAACGGAUA